rnacentral:rRNA from 1 species
ACGAACGCUGGCGGCGUGCUUAACACAUGCAAGUCGAACGAUGAAGGAGGAGCUUGCUCCUCCGGAUUAGUGGCGAACGGGUGAGUAAUACGUGAGCAAUGUGCCCUUGACUCUGGGAUAAGCGCUGGAAACGGCGUCUAAUACCGGAUACGACGAUCGGAGGCAUCUCCUGGUCGUGGAAAGAACUUCGGUCAAGGAUCAGCUCACGGCCUAUCAGCUAGUUGGUGAGGUAACGGCUCACCAAGGCGACGACGGGUAGCCGGCCUGAGAGGGUGACCGGCCACACUGGGACUGAGACACGGCCCAGACUCCUACGGGAGGCAGCAGUGGGGAAUAUUGCACAAUGGGCGCAAGCCUGAUGCAGCAACGCCGCGUGAGGGACGAAGGCCUUCGGGUUGUAAACCUCUUUUAGCAGGGAAGAAGCGAAAGUGACGGUACCUGCAGAAAAAGCACCGGCUAACUACGU